GUUACCAGUACAUGAAUCUUAGUUCAAUUUUAAACUUACCAAAAGAACUCCCAAAUCAUAAUGUAAGUUUAAACUUUACUCUAAAGAGGGACAGCUCUUUAGAUAAGGAAAUAACCUGUAAUAGUGAGUAAACUUAAUAUUAUCCCACAGUUGGCCUAAAAGCAGCCACCAGUUAAGAAAGCGUUCAAGCUCAACAUUUAAUUAAACCAAAUUCGCUUCUUCUAAUUCAACUCCUAUUAUUACCACUGGGUUAAUCUAUUUAUAAAUAGAUGAAAAUAUGUUAAUAUAAGUAACAAGAAAAAUUUUCUCCUAGCAUGAGUUUAUAUCAGACCGAAUACUCACUGAUAGUUAACAAUCUAAUAAUAAUAACCCUAAUUAAAUUUUUAUUAACUAUAUUGUUAAUCCAACACAGGUAUGCAUUCAAGGAAAGAUUAAAAGAAGUAAAAGGAACUCGGCAAACACUAACCCCGCCUGUUUACCAAAAACAUCACCUCUAGCAUAACAAGUAUUAGAGGCACUGCCUGCCCAGUGACUUUCGUUUAACGGCCGCGGUAUCCUG
rnacentral:rRNA from 1 species